rnacentral:tRNA from 1 species
UCCCUCAUGGUCCGGUGGCUAAGACUGCAUUCCCAAUGCAGGGUACCUGGGUUCGAUCCCUGGUGAGGGAA